UGUAACUUGGAGAUGACGGGCUGUAAGGACUAGAAGGAGACAGCUUCGGGCUGGUUGGCGAAUAUGCAAGGGAGGGGCUGUAUCUUGCCGAGGGAUUGUAACUUGGUGAUGUAGGACUGUAGGAUGGUGAUGUUGGGCUAUAGCUGGGAGAUGUUGGGCUGUAACCAGGGGAGGUAGGACUGUAUGCAGGAGAAGUCGGACUAUAUGAAGGGGAAGUUGGACUAUAAGUUGGUGAGGUGGGGCUAUAUGAAGGCGACGUGGGGCUGUAUGAAGGUGAAGUGGGACUGUAAGAUGGGGAAGUGGGGCUGUAAGAUGGAGAAGUGGGGCUAUAGGCAGGAGAAGUAGGGCUGUAGGCAGGAGAAGUAGGACUGUAAGCAGGAGAAGUAGGACUAUAACUGGGCGAUGUUGGGCUAUAGCUAGGUGAUGUUGGGCUGUAGCUCGGAGAUGUUGGGCUAUAACUGGGUGAUGUGGGUGAGUAUGAUGGACUGGUUGGAGAAUAUGCUGGACUUGUUGGGCUGUAGCCAGGGGAGCUUGGGCUAUAAGUGGGGGAAGUUGGGCUGUACCCAGGGGAUGUGGGGCUGUAGCCCGGGGAAGUGGGGCUGUAACCUGGAGAGGUCGGGCUAUAACCAGGGGAUGAUGGACUAUAACCAGGGGAUGACGGGCUGUAUCCAGGGGAUGAAGUGGG
rnacentral:lncRNA from 1 species